GCAGCGGUGGUUCAGCGGUGGAAUUCUCGCCUUCUGUGCAAGAGACCCAGAUUUGAUUUCUGGCCAGUGCC
rnacentral:tRNA from 1 species